UGGUUCUGGCAUCGAUGAAGAACGCAGCGAAAUGCGAUAAGUAAUGCGAAUUGCAGAAUCCGUGAGUCAUCGAAUCUUUGAACGCACAUUGCGCCCCUUGGUAUUCCGAAGGGCAUGCCUGUUCGAGCGUCAUUAUCACCUCUCAAGCUUGGCUUGCUGUUGAACCUUUGGUUGCACUGUCGGUGUGGCCGGUUCAAAAGAUAACGACGGCGUCUGUGAGGACCCCAGUACAUUGAGCUUUCCAAAGCACGUACCAGGUGGAAGUUCAGACCCGGUCUCCUUUUUUAUAUAUUUCUAAGGUUGACCUCGGAUCAGGUAGGGAUACCCGCUGA
rnacentral:misc_RNA from 1 species